rnacentral:rRNA from 1 species
UACGGAGGGGGCGAGCGUUAUUCGGAAUCAUUGGGCGUAAAGGGCGCGUAGGCGGCCCCGUAAGUCUUGGGUGAAAGCCCUCGGCUCAACCGAGGAAUUGCCUUGGAUACUGCGGGGCUCGAGGCUGGAAGAGGGCAGUGGAAUUCCCGGUGUAGCGGUGAAAUGCGUAGAGAUGUGGAGGAACACCGAUGGCGAAGGCAGCCCCCUGGGUCAAGAUUGACGCUCAUGCACGAAAGCGUGGGGAGCAAACAGG